UCAUUGUAGUUUGCUUACAAUCCGAGAAUUGAAGCAACUCACUCAAAGUGAGCAGCUAGUGGGCGAUUAGGUUUUGUCUUUGAGCCCAGGAUUCUGAUUCCCUGUGAGGGUGGAAAGUGGAAGCUCGGCUCCAAGGAAAACAGCUGUGCUAUUCCCUGGCCCACCUCCCACCUCCACCGACAGGGCCCUGUCCUUGGUCCGUGUUCCACGGAGGCAGGGCAAACAUGGCCUCAUUACAGAAGGCAGAAAUCUGAUAAAGCUCCACCUCUGAUCAUUCAGUAGGUUCUGAGGGAAGACUGUGUUCCUACCCAAUGGAAUGAUCUGAAAACCAUUAUGAUCAGCAGGCUGCUUAGCCGACUGUGGUGUAAGAGAUUGGUCUUUUUCCAGUUCCCUCACUUAUCUCCAAGACAAGAGGGUUCUGAGGGAAGGUCACUGCUAAACAUUUACCUCCCCACCAAGGCCCCAGGGCCCUUUUCCAGACGUGGAUCGGACUGCAGAACAAUACCAUAGCAAAUCACAAGAUAAUAGUGAAAAAAAAAACAUCUAUUGAAUUUUAUCGUCAGAGGAAGGGAGCCAUGUUUCUACCAUUAAUUAUCCAUGUGACUUUGGCGGUAUUCAGUGUUAGUACAGACAUUGGGUGUUUCCUGUAUCGGCUAGCCUUGGUGCAGAAGACUGGUGAUUCCUCACGUGGCAUUCUCCCCAGGGCAUAGAGCUUUCCUGCUCCUUGCCCCGUAUCUUGGAAAGUGGAAAGACUGCAAGCUGAUCCAAGAGUCACUGAGCAACUGUCCAAAUGUUCUGAAGGGUGGCUACCCCACUGGCAAUGUUUUUUUAAA